rnacentral:rRNA from 1 species
AUUGAACGCUGGCGGCAUGCCUUACACAUGCAAGUCGAACGGCAGCACGGGAGCAGUCCUGGUGGCGAGUGGCGAACGGGUGAGUAAUACAUCGGAACGUGCCCAGUAGUGGGGGAUAGCCCGGCGAAAGCCGGAUUAAUACCGCAUACGACCUGAGGGUGAAAGCGGGGGAUCGCAAGACCUCGCGCUAUUGGAGCGGCCGAUGUCAGAUUAGCUAGUUGGUGGGGUAAAGGCCUACCAAGGCAACGAUCUGUAGUUGGUCUGAGAGGACGACCAGCCACACUGGGACUGAGACACGGCCCAGACUCCUACGGGAGGCAGCAGUGGGGAAUUUUGGACAAUGGGGGCAACCCUGAUCCAGCAAUGCCGCGUGCAGGAAGAAGGCCUUCGGGUUGUAAACUGCUUUUGUCAGGGAAGAAAUCUUCUGGGUUAAUACCUCGGGAGGAUGACGGUACCUGAAGAAUAAGCACCGGCUAACUACGUGCCAGCCGCCGCUGUAACAC